CGGCGUGCUUAACACAUGCAAGUCGAGUGCGUAGCGCCUGUAGCAAUACAGGGGUGGGCGCACGGCGCACGGGUGCGUAACACGUGGGCAAUCUGCCCUCCGAUGGGGAAUAACCCCGCGAAAGCGGGGCUAAUUCCGCAUAACAUUCCCUGGACCUCGGUUCGGGGACUCAAAGCCGUAAGGCGUCGAAGGAGGAGCCCGCGCCCGAUUAGCUAGUUGGUAGGGUAACGGCCUACCAAGGCAAUGAUCGGUAGCUGGUCUGAGAGGAUGGCCAGCCACACUGGAACUGAGACACGGUCCAGACUCCUACGGGAGGCAGCAGUGGGGAAUCUUGCGCAAUGGGCGAAAGCCUGACGCAGCGACGCCGCGUGGGGGAUGAAGCUUCUCGGAGUGUAAACCCCUUUCGACUGGGACGAAUGCCCGCAAGGGAGUGACGGUACCAGUAGAAGAAGCCCCGGCUAACUACGUGCCAGCAGCCGCGGUAAGACGUAGGGGGCCAGCGUUGUUCGGAAUUACUGGGUGGUAAGGGUUCGU
rnacentral:rRNA from 1 species